GCGCAGCGAGGCGGCGGCGGCCGCCCGGGAAUCGCUUCUGUCUGCGCUCGGUGCCUGCAGGAAAACGCUGCUCCGGCCUCUGGCAGAGAGAGGCAGGCACUGCCCUCGCUCUCUCCCUCCGUAUCCUUCUCCCUCUUCUCUUCUCCGCUGCUUCUUCCCGGGCGCGCUGAAGCAUUUUCUCACAGGCCCAACCCAGCCCUCCUUCCUACAUGGCAGCUUUCAUGUGUCCGGCUGUAGACGUUUGCCGACUUUCCUAGCACUGGCCAAAGGAAACAGUACUUUGUAAUCUAAAAAUGAGCAGGGGCGAGGCAGCAUGCUGUGAAUAUGGCUCCAACAAAGGGAGGCAGAAACUACUCUCAAAUCACUCAGCCUCUUUCUCCAAUCUGUGAACAUGCCUAACCAAUUUGAGGAGACAUCAGCUUCCACCAAGGAUAUAAUCAUGGGGACUUGACGGAAGUAGUACCAUCUCCUUGCCUCAGGACUAGCACAGAGCUCCAGUCAGAAGCAGCAGCUGAAGAAGACACCUGCUCUGGAAGAAAGGAUGUGUCCUAUAGAGAUGGAGCUCUCCAUCACAGUUCUUAAAGUGCUUUUAGAAUAAAGGCAGUGCCUGACAA